AUAAGGGUCAAAUGCAGUUUUUGGCUUAUAUCUCAAAAACUAAAUCUUUUAGAGCAAAUGUGACAGGAUAAAAUUGUUUAAUUGGUCAAGAUCUAUCGGCCCUGAAAUUUUUAGACGAAUCGAACAACCCAUAAUGAUUGUUGGGUUGCUGCCACCGAAUUGGUAGUUUUAACAAAAUUUUGCAGUUUUUUGUUAUUAUUUUGAAUAUUAUUAUAGAUAUAUAUAAACUGUAAGCAGCAAUAAUGUUCAGCAAAGUAAGAUCUUCAAAAAAAGUUAAUAUGACCAUAAUUGUUAAUUGACCCCUUAAGGAGUUAUUGCCCUUUAAAGACAAUUUUACACAAUUUGUUCAUCAAGUUUGCUAACAUUUAAAAAUCUUCUCCUCUGAAAUGCAGGUGAGCGAUUCAGGCUCUUGAGAGCCUCUUGUUAAUGGUGAGAAACUGAAUAUUGGUUUAUCUGCUUGUAAAGAUUUUAAUCCAAAUAAAUUCAAGGUGUAUUUGAAAAGAUGUCUACAAAAGAUUUUUUUUUUGAAACAUGGAAACAUAUCAGAGAUACAUUUUCGGGUAACAGCGGAAAACUAAACAUAUACUUUGAAUUUAAAUAUUCUUUUAAUUAUGAAAAUUACUAAUCUAUAAAAACAUAGACAUGAUAGAAUUCUUACAAAAUUUAGAAUAGAUAACCAUAGUUAAGAAUCGGAACUGGGAGACAUGAACGAAAGACUAAUAAAUCUGGAAAGCAGAAAAUACUCCCAAGAGGUGAAAUACUCUGCUAAGAUUGCACACCAAGUAAGGUAGAGGAUGAAAUCCAUUUUAUGUUCACAUGUCCUCUUUAUUCUGUAGCAAGAAUGAUAUUCUUCUACAAUAUUGUCACAAGGUUUUCCAAUGUGUCCAUUCUAAAUGUCCAAGCUUUAUCAAUUUGUAUGAUGACCGAUACAGAUAUAGAUUUCAAUAUUUCCAUGGGUGACUAUUUAUCAAAAUCUUUGAAGUGAGGAGAGAAUCUCAUCAGAAAUAUAAAUUAUCUGUCAUUGUGUAUUUGUGACUGGUAAUCAUAUAAAUGUUACAUGUUGAUAAAGUUUUUUGUUUUUUGUUUGUUCAGUUGAAUAAAACUAAGAGUUAUUCCUCUUUAUACAACUGGCUCUCUCUUCCUACUAAUGGUAGUGUAUUUCGUGUGGUUUUUUUUUUAUUAGAGUAACUUAAAAUCAUAACUUAUCAAUAAGAAUGUUUAACACAUUGUGUAUGUGCCUAUCCCAAGUCAGGAGUCUGUAAUUCAGUGGUUGUCAUUUGUUGCUGUAUAUCAUAUUUGUUUUUCGUUCAUUAUUUUGUACAUAAAUCAGGCCGUUAGUUUUUUCGUUUUAUUUGUUUUACAUUUGUCAUUUCGGGGUCUUUUAUUGCUGACUAUGCGGUAUGGGCUUUGCUCAUUGUUGAAGGCUGUACGGUGACCUAUAGUUGUUAAUUUCUAUGAUACACAAGCACAAUUUGCUCACGUGAAUCUCACAUGAAUCUCACAUGAAAUUCAUCUGAAAAUUUUCAAGUGAGAUUCACCUCAAACAAGCUUAUAGUUACAUGAAUUUCACGUUAACUUUACAAAAUAAAAAAUUGGUAAUUUCAUGAUUUCGAUUAACUUUGAAAAUUUCGAUUUUAUUUGAAUUACUUCACGUAUAAGCUCCUUUGGGUUGAAAUUCACGUGAGAUUCACUUGAAUGUAAAUCUGGUGUGAGAGAAAUUUCCCUGUGUACUAAUUGAAAUGCCCUCUUUGGAAUAAAAGAUAUUUGUAUUUCUAUACGUCAUUUGUAUUGAUGCUGCAAUAUUUUAACAUGGAAAGUUAGUAAUUGUGUUUAUGAUGAUUUGAAUGUGCUUUUUCUUUAUUAUUAUUAAUGUAUUACAAAUAUUAAAAUUAAAUUUGCCAUGAUA